GGGCACUUAGCUCAGCGGUAGAGCACUACCUUGACAUGGUAGGGGUCACAGGUUCGAUCCCUGUAGUGCCCACCA
rnacentral:tRNA from 6 species